rnacentral:rRNA from 1 species
UACGUAGGUGGCAAGCGUUGUCCGGAAUUAUUGGGCGUAAAGCGCGCGCAGGCGGUCCUUUAAGUCUGAUGUGAAAGCCCACGGCUCAACCGUGGAGGGUCAUUGGAAACUGGGGGACUUGAGUGCAGGAGAGAAGAGUGGAAUUCCACGUGUAGCGGUGAAAUGCGUAGAGUAUGUGGAGGAACACCAGUGGCGAAGGCGACUGCUUUG